UACGUAGGGGGCGAGCGUUGUCCGGAAUUACUGGGCGUAAAGGGUGCGUAGGCGGCGCGGUAAGUCGGGUGUGAAAUCUCGGAGCUUAACUCCGAAACUGCAUUCGAUACUGCCGUGCUUGAGGACUGGAGAGGAGACUGGAAUUUACGGUGUAGCGGUGAAAUGCGUAGAUAUCGUAAGGAAGACCAGUGGCGAAGGCGGGUCUCUGGACAGUUCCUGACGCUGAGGCACGAAGGCCAGGGGAGCAAACGGG
rnacentral:rRNA from 1 species